rnacentral:lncRNA from 1 species
GAAGCGAAAAGGGUGUUGAUUAUUGGAUAGUGAAGAACUCAUGGGGUCCGAGUUGGGGAGAGAAGGGAUACCUUAGAAUGCAGCGUAACGUAGCUGCAAAAUCCGGUCUCUGUGGUAUUGCAAUAGAGCCAUCUUACCCUACAAAGACGGGCCAAAAUCCUCCUAAUCCAGGUCCAUCUCCUCCAUCUCCGGUCACACCACCCUCGGUUUGUGAUGAAUACUAUGCGUGUCCUGAGAGCGAUACCUGCUGCUGUGUCUACGAAUACCAUAACUACUGCUUGUCUUGGGGAUGCUGUCCUCUUGAGGGUGCCUCCUGCUGUGAAGACCAUUACAGUUGCUGCCCCCAUGAAUAUCCGGUUUGCAACAUUAAGGCGGGCACCUGUUCAGUGG